CCUGCCUCUCUGAGGCAGUUAUUUCACCACCCUCACUAUAAAAAUUUCCUUCCUUAUAUGUAAUUCAGAUUGAAUCUCCUCCAAUUUAAAACCAAUACCCAUUUUCCUUUCACUACUGAAGGCCAAGCUGCUCCUUGGCCUUCCUCACCCUAUCUUUACACACCUGGGCAGUGUCCCUAUACCCUUCCCAGGAUGCCUGUUCCUGCUCCUCUGCCUGUGCAUUUCCUUCUUGCCCUUUAGUUUCUCUAGCAGGUCUCGAAUCAGCCAUGCUGGUCUCUUGCCUUCCUUUCCUGAUUUCUUAUACCUGGGGAUUGAGAGCAUUUAUGCUCUAUGAAAAAUGUCCUUUAAGAUCUCUCAGCUCUCUUCUGCUCCCUUGCCCCUGAGGGCAGUUUUGCACAAGUGUCCUAUUGACUAACUCUUUGAAGGAUUGGAAGUUUUUUUUUGCUGAAAUUCAGGGUCCUGAUUUUAUUCUUUGCCUGACCUUUAUCCCACAGGAUGUGAACUCCACUAGUGCAUUACCACUGCAGCCCAGGCUGCCUCCAUUUUUGAUGUCACUGAUUAAAUUAACUUGUGGUGCUAAAAAUAAAGUAAAAUAAUAAUGAAAUUCCAAUUAAAUAAAAUAAUUAUAUUCCAAUUUGGACAUCAGAAGGUUAGUCAUUCCUACAACCCUUCACCUCACAUCAAUGUCCCAAGCUACUGUCUGUUGGUUAGUGUUAUGCCAUAGAAAGAAUAUACAAGAGGAACCUUUAUCACAAGGAAGAUUCAUUUGACUAUUUUCCAGGUUUCUAGUUCAACUUUGCAGACCCAUUGUAUUUUUCACUGUUGCUCAUUAGCAAUAUAAAUAUUUUCAAUUGCAGAAUUGAACAAAGUGAAUGGCAUGUCUAUCCACUGUGUGCAGAAUGAAAACAGUCUCAAAAAGGGAAGGGACAAGUGCAAGAUGGUCUCUUCUGUCUUCCCUUUUUUCCUUUUUUCCCCUCUUUUUUCCUCUCUGUUUUCCCCCUGAUUUGUCUCCAUUGCUGUCCAUUAUAGCACAAGCUUUUUUAAUAUCAAAUCUUGGGACGCUCCAGUUGUUCAAGCCUGUCUCUCAUCUCCAAUUUGAUCACUAGGAUGCAGGAUAUGUACAUUAUAGCUUAAUCUGAUAUGUACAGGUUGGGCGACAAGUGAAAUUAAACAGGAGUAAUAAUUAUGAAAAGCAAUAAUUAAGCAUUAUUAAGUCGGUCUAGUUGAAAUGCAUUGUUUAAAUAUUCACACUUCAGUCUUAACCGCACUUUUUAUGUGGAUCACCUAAACAGCUCUCCAAUUCAUUUGACCUAAAUUUGGUGCAAAGUAUUUACUUUGACCUGCCCUGUCCACACAGCUGUGUCCUCAUGGCAUCUGAGCUGCCAGAACCAGAACUUUUGUUUCUACCACUGAUUUAGGCUCGCUAUGGGCUUGCUGCAGCACCAAGCAAGGGCUUCCAAAGGGUCUCUCUAGAGAGCCAGACUUGAUGAUUCUCACUGCAGGCAACCUCCUUAUCUGUUCCUGAGCCUGGACACAGCACCUGCAAGGCAGCUGGAAUACAGAGCACUGAAGUGAAUUGAAUCGAGCCAGUCUGGCCUUGCAGAACAGCUGCUGAAGCAUGUCAGGCAUGUGGUCGUUCAAAUAAUGACUGUGAUUGAGCAAUGGUGGUGUAAUUAUGGUGUUUCCCCUGGAUACAAGUACGGGUAACUCAGGGCAGUCACAGCUCAGACCCUUGCACAGGCACAGUGGGUGGUUUCCCCCUGGAGCUCCACACACGGACAUCACAACACCACUUACAUCCUGGGCCUUAUGCACCACCUCAGCCUAUAUGUGUGGAGGACUUAGGAACUGCUCCCAACACAGCAGAGAUGGAAACUUGAUUUUUCAGUGCAGGAUGGGUAGGUGGCUGCUGGGAGUCAUCCAGCACCGUCACUGAGAGAAGACUUUCUUCCCUCAUGUUUGAACAGACCCCUUGGAGUCCAGGAUACGGAGAGUCUGCUGAUGGAAGACCCAGUUUAGAUUUAGAAAUCCAAAUCACACUGUGUUCUUGACUUCUUAUUGCUGGAGUUCAAGGGUGGCAAGCAGGGCUCUGAGCAAUGUCAGCAUUAAGACAGAAGUGGCAGUGGUUACCUCAGUGGUACCUGAUUGCUCGUCUCCAGCAGGGCUGAGAGAAGUAAGCAGCAGUGUUGCUGGGAUUUGUCAGUCUGAACUCUGGGCUGGACAUCAGAUAUCCUAGGGCUACACUGAAUGGAUUCCUCUUAAAACAGAGGGAUAACUUUGAGAAAAGCUUCCACUUUCACUGUAGCCUUUUCAGUGGUGGCAAAUCUACCUCAGCCCUUGCCAACUUGCUCUUAAUAGAUUUUACAUUUUAAAUGCUGAGCCUCAUUUUAAUCUUAAUUUGUCUAGUUUUAGCUUCCAGACACUGGAUGUUGUCAUAAACCCUGUCUGUGGGGGGGAAAAAAGAGACAAAGUAGCAGGAGUGUGCUCUGGGUAAGACUGAUCUCGCCUAAAUCUCGACAUUGCAGUGCAUAGCAUCACUCAGGCCUGCCUUUGAGGACACCACAGCCAACAGCUGGUUUUAGGCUGUGAUACACUUGAUCUGUCUGUAGACACCUGCUUUAGAUUGUCCAUGAGCCCACACUGACCUGCAGCUCGUUUGACCAGCUGAGCACAUGAUGUGGCAGUGCUCCUCAUUGCCCACUCAGUCACUGGUAAGUGCAGUUCCAUAGCACAAUGCCAAGGAUCGUCCUCACUAGAGGUUCUGAUACUGGAUGGUAACUUCCUACUUGUAAUUACAUUUCAAACCUGCCAGUUAAUCCACCUAAUGCACAUGGCAUUGAUUUUUUUAUAGUUCUUCUUUCUUAAUGAAAUUUCAGUCUGAUACCAUCUCAGAUGUUCUAAAGAUGAACUGUAAAAAUGUCAAAGAAAGACAAGACAAUGGAAACCUCAAGGUAUCUCAGUGGAUCCUGCCAGCCAACAAAACAAUAGAGUACUGCUGGAUGCUGGUGUUUGCUGCUUUAUGUAGCAGCUGUCUAGGCUGAGAAAAGUUAAUCAAAACUGAAACUGUAUAGAGUAUUGUCAUGGACACUUCUAAGGGUCAAAGGAGGUAAAUCCACAUGUGGAGAGGUAAACUGGAAGAAAAAUAAGGGAAUAUGAACUGGAGGCUGUAACCCAUGAACAGAAUGGCUUCAUAUGAGUUGGGUCAUUAUCCCCCAUGCUGGCAACACCUCAAGGACCUUGAGUCUGCUGGACUGGAACAACUAGGCAUUUGGGCAUUAAGUAUAGGAUAGAAGUACUUUUGUAUUUAUUUUACUUGCAGCUUCAUUUUAAUUGCUUUCAAAACUUUGUCCGACCUUGAUGAAUGUUUUCUUUUUAAGCUUGCUGGGGGAUGUUCAGAGGAGAGAGUCAUAUAAGGAUGGAAAGUGACACAUUAUAAUUAAUAUUUCACGGCAGUCUCUAGAGACACAGGAGAGAAUUUCUGGUCUUGAUUUAACAAAGUAUAUCAACAGGACGGCUGUGCACUGGAAGUGCAGUGGUUGGCAAAUGCUCCUGUUUCUCCACCUGCUGCAAGGGGAUGAGGAUAGCGGUUCCCCCUGUGAUAUUGCAAACAUCCCAACUUCGAGGGAGGAGGUUGUUCUGAAACAAAGCCUUGGCCAGGUGUGAAACAGCAAGGAUUGUGCCCAAGGAUUUUCCUGUAGAUAUUGUGAGCAAACAUGGAGCCAGUGGAGAGAAGAGCUGAAUCUGCAGAAGACAUUGCAGCAGCAGCGAUGGCUCCCAAACCAGUAAUGGAGAUAUAUGCUGGGCAGAGAUUUUGCAAAACAAGUGGUAGGAUCAUCGCUGACUCUCCUCUCUCAAAUGGACUUGGAAGACCAUAGCUUGUCUGAUUCCAGUCUUUAAAACAAAACAAGGAAAGGUCACAACAAAGCCUUCGUGAACAUUUCUGCUGGCUUUGAAAUUGCCUUUUCACAGGGGCCAGUCACAGAAGGGCUAAGAACUGAGAUCCACUCAGUAUUUUAGGACUCACUAUUUUAAGGCAUUUUUUGGGGUUCUUUUGUGAACUUUUGUGAUUCCCCUUAGCAUGCUGCAGCUCCCACUAGAUCAAAAAUUUCCCUUUUCCUCAGCAGCAUCUAUAGGAAUGGGGAUGCUUUGUGUGAUUCCAGAGUUGACUCAAUUAAAGGUCAACCUCUAGACACUGCUCAUGAAGAGAAGGGAAUUGGAUGAACUCAUGACUUCAGCUGAUUUCCUUAAAUGUUCAGUGACCUGGCUGCCCUUUAACUCUUGCUCACAGUCAACACAGGACUGAUUUCCUGCAUGGAGACUGUGAGUUUACAGGACUGAACUUCUUGAUUCCUUCAAGCAAGAGCCUUAUUAACAGUCUGUAGUAAUACUGCUGUGUCUUACGUGUCUAAGGUAUGAACAGAAGGAAGCAUAAAAUUUCUUCUAAAAUAGGAUUAUAUGGUUAUUAUAAGGUUUUAGAGAGUCUGCCUGCAUCUUUCCUCAGCACAAAGUCUGGGAGAAGUAAUUAAUCAUAAGGAAAUAGCUUUAAACAGGUCUUGGGGCUGUUUAAACAUCUGUAAGUAGUUGUGCAAUGUACCUCAGAGGGCUCCAUAUUUUCUAGAUGGAUCACCUAUCUUGGUGUUGAGGACCAUGGGACGGGGUAAUUUGAAGUCUCUGUCAGGAUUUCUUUGGAUCCUGUUUUAAUCACCUUUGCCAAAACCACAUUGGUUACUCAGAGACAAAUGAUUUGUUUUACCUGUUGAUGCUGCGACUGCCCCAAUGAGCACCGAGGGGAUGGCCAUGGCAAAGCACCCGAGUCCAGAGAGGUAGGAGAUGAGCCUUGCCUGUCCUGUCGAGGCAGCAGAGAGCACCCUUUGGAAGUAAGUCUGCCACGGGAUGCUCCCAAGCACCUGAAACAUUCAUUGGUUACCAGUGGUACUCACCAGGCUGCUGUAGGACAUCAUCCAUAAUAAAUUCUAAUUUCACAUGCAUAAACGUUGCCCAGCUCCAGCUCUUGAGGAUAAUAUUUCUGAUAGUUGAGAAUUCCCUGUUUCUUUUGUUUUCAUCCAUUUCACAUUGGAUGUGAAAUUUUAAUGAAAACAGGUUAAUGGUUUGGCAGAUGGAGAAAGCUGAAAAAUGGUUGUUUGGAAUUGUGAAUCAGGCACAGAGGAAGUGAAAGGGAAGAUUUUCAGGAAUGCAGCUUUUGUAAAUAAAUCUACCCAAACUUAGCUAUUUAGCUUUUAAAACAAAAAGUAAAACCAUUAUUUUCCCUUUCUUAGCAAACAAAAUUAAUCAGACAAAAUCUGAAGAUUCUGUCUUCACCAAACAAACUUCUAUGUGUCCCUAUUAUCAGUUUGGUAAGAGCAGAACAAACUCCUGGAGUCUUGGCUAUACUGGUAACUCAAAAGUUGUGUUGUGCAGUGGAGCCAAUUGCACUGUGCUUGCUGAUGACUUGCAGUCAUGUAAAUUUUUUUUUUUUCAA